UAUUUUCAAAGAUUGAUUGAAGGUCGGGUUACCAUCUAUUGAGGAUCAAGGAGGAGAAUAUUUCGGUCACUCUUGGAUAAUUGUGUAAUUGUAUUGUAUUGAUGAAACUAUUUGAGAGCAGGAGGAGGAAAUAAAGAAAUCAUAAUCCUCAUCUUUUCAUCGAUUGAGCUAUGACCAAUUUAGAGGAUUAAAUUUUCUUUUAAGGGGGGGAGAGUGUAAUAUCCCUCACUUUUAAAAAUUUAUUAAUAAGGAUUUAUAUGUAAAUUGGAGGACCUAUAUGUAAAUAUAAAAAUUUCAAGGACUAAACUGUUAAGUUGUAAAAAGAAAAAAAAUAAAGAAAACUAAAAAUUUCGGUUUUAUCCCACCGCCUCCCACGUUCUCUGUUCCCGAAACUGAGAGAGGAGCUGUGGGGCGUGGGGAGAAGAAGAAGAGAAGUAGAGGGAGAAGAGAAGAAAAGAAGAAGAAGAGGGAAAAGAAGAGAGGAAGAAGACGGAGAAGAGAAGAAAAGAAGAAGAAGAAGAAGAGAGGGAAGAGGGAGAGGGAAGAGAGAUAGCUGCAGUAGCUAGGGCUGCAGCACCUCUGUUUCGUGUAGGAGGAAACAGAGGAGUUCAUGUGUGGGGCGUCGGGGAGGAGAAGGGAAGAAGAGGAGAAGAAGAGAAGCAGAAGAAGAAGAAGAAGAAGAAGAAGAAGAAGAAGAAGAAGAAGAAAAGAGGAGGUGGCUGCGGCAAGGGCUGCAGCGAGGAGCUGUGGGGCGUUGGGGAGGAGAAAGGAAGAAGAGGAGAAGAAGAAAAGAAGAGAGGGAAAAGAAGAGAGGAGGAAGAAGAGGGAGAAGAGAAGAAUAGAAGAAGAAGAAAAAGAGAGGGAAGUGGGAGAGGAGCGAGAGGUGGCAGCAACUAGGGCUGUAGCAUCUCUGUUUCCUGCAGGUGGAAACAGAGGAGAGGUGUGGGGCGUUCGAAGAGGAGAAGAAGAAGAAGAGGAAGAGAAGAAGAAGAGGUUGUGAUACCUCUGUUUCUUGCAGAGGAAACAGAGGAGAGGGUGUGUGUGACGACGAGGAGGCGGAGGGAAGAAGAAGAGGAGAAGAAGAGAAGGAAAAGGAGGAGCUGCGGCUGCGGCGGUGGCAGCUGCAGCUGGAAGAGAAGGAGAGGAAGAGAAGGUGAGGAAAAAGAGAAAAAGAAGAAAGGAAGGAGAAGGAAGAAGGAGAAGAAGAGGGAAAAGAGAGGGAAGAGGGAGAGGAGCGAGAGGUGGCAGCAGCUAGGGCUGCAGCAUCUCUGUUUCCGCAGGUGGAAACAGAGGAGAGGUGUGGGGCGUUCGAAGAGGAGAAGAAGAAGAAGAGGAAGAGAAGAAGAAGAGGAAGCAGGAGAAGAGGUUUUGAUACCUCUAUUUCCUGCAAAGGAAAUAGAGGAGAGGGUGUGUGUGACGCCGGGAAGGAGGAGGGAAGAAGAAGAGGAGAAGAAGAGAAGGGAAAGGAAGGGGCUGCGGCUGUGGCGAUGGCAGCUGCAGUUGGAAGAGAAGGAGAGGACGAUGAGCAAGGGAGGAAGAAGAGGCUGCAGCCGUGGCUGAGGCUACGACUGCAGCAGUGCAGCUGGGAAAGAAGGGAAGGAAAGGAAGAAGAAGAGAAAUGAAAAGGGAAGAAGAGAGGAAGAGGAGAAGGGGAGGCAGCUGCGGCAGUGGCAGUUGCAGCUGGAAGAGAAGGAGAGGAAACAGAGCAGGGGAGGAAGAAGAGGCUACCGCUGUGGUGGCUACGGCCAUGGCUGCGACUGCAGCUGCGACUGCUACGUUGGCUGUGGUAGCUGCGACUGCUACGUUGGCUGUGGUAGCUGCGACAGCGGUGGUGGCUGCAGUAGCUGCUUUUGGGAAAGAGAAAGAAAGAAAAAGAGAAAGAAAAGGGGGCUGUGGCCGUGAUUGCAGCUGCGGUGGUGGCGGCUGCGGUCGUGGCAGCUGUGUUUGGGAAAGAAAAAGUAGGAACGAGAGAAAGGAGGAAGGAAGUAGUACAGUGGAAGGGGAUGCGGUUGUGACAGCAACUGCGGUCGUGGCUACGACUGUGGUAGUGGCAACGGCGAUGGCUGCGACAGUUGUGUUUGAAAAAGAAAACGAAGGAAUGAGAGUAAGAGAGAGCAGUUGACUAUGCCUCUAUGUUCUGCAUGAGCUGCAAUUGUGGAGGAAAAAGAAAAGACGUAGAAAACGAAACAGAGAGAGGACACGGAGGAAAAGUAUAAGGAUUUGGGCUGGCACCAUCUUUGGAUCUUCGGAUCGAAAUAUUUGAAAGUAGCUGUGGUCGUGGCUACGACUGUGGUAGUGACAGCGGCGAUGGCUGCGACAGCUGUGUUUGAAAAAGAAAACGAAGGAAUGAGAGUAAGAGAGAGCAGUUGACUAUGCCUCUAUGUUCUGCAUGAGCUACAAUUGUGGAGGAAUAAGAAAAGACAUGUAGAAAAUGAAACAGAGAGAGGACAUGGAGGAAAAGUAUAAGGAUUUGGGCUGGCACCAUCUUUGGAUCUUCGGAUCGAAAUAUUUGAAAGGUCAGCUUGUCACUCUUUGAGAUGUUUGAAUUGGGCUGAGGCAGUGGAGAGCUAUUCUGAAUUAUAGGCAAGUCUUGUUGGUUAUUAUGUUAUUGUUGUAUAAGCAUAUUUUGUAUGAAAUGAAAUAUUGUCGAUGAAUCAAAAUGGAUAUACUAUGUAAAAGUGUUAGAAGAUCUCUCUUAUUUGGAAUUUCAGAAUGUUAAGUCUAAUUUAUGAUGAUAUGAACUUGUGGUGAAUAGUUGGAGUUCUGAUUGUAUAAUUUAUUUAGCUUAUGGAUUUAUAAAUGUUGUUCAUGUUUGUCAA